AGAAUAUGCAAUUCAAUUAGAAUUCCAAUUGGCCAUCAGUAUAUGCAACAACUCACCUGUAAAUUGGAUCGACUGCACAUAUCCUAUAAAGGGCAUACAUGCAGUAAACAAAUACUACAGUGCACUGACUAAUAUCAACACAAACGCACUUAACUAAACUAGCGGCACUACUCGAUGUUUGGGACGCGGAGUCUUCUCAGCUACUUCUUCUUGUACCACUGGA